CGAAGGGUGCAAGCGUUACUCGGAAUUACUGGGCGUAAAGCGUGCGUAGGUGGUUCGUUAAGUCUGAUGUGAAAGCCCUGGGCUCAACCUGGGAAUGGCAUUGGAAACUGGCGACCUAGAGUGCGGUAGAGGGUAGUGGAAUUCCCGGUGUAGCAGUGAAAUGCGUAGAGAUCGGGAGGAACAUCCGUGGCGAAGGCGACUACCUGGACCAGCACUGACACUGAGGCACGAAAGCGUGGGAAGCAAACAGGAUUAGAUACCCUGGUAGUCCACGCCCUAAACGAUGCGAACUGGAUGUUGGGUGCAACUAGGCACUCAGUAUCGAAGCUAACGCGUUAAGUUCGCCGCCUGGGGAGUACGGUCGCAAGACUG
rnacentral:rRNA from 1 species